UACGGAGGGUGCGAGCGUUGUCCGGAAUCACUGGGCGUAAAGGGCGCGUAGGCGGCGCGGGGAGUCAACGGUGAAAGCUCGGCGCUCAACGCCGAGUCGGCCGUCGAUACUCCCGUGCUCGAGCACUGUAGAGGCAGGUGGAAUUCCGGGUGUAGCGGUGGAAUGCGUAGAGAUCCGGAAGAACACCGGUGGCGAAGGCGGCCUGCUGGGCAGUAGCUGACGCUGAGGCGCGAGAGCGCGGGGAGCGAACGGG
rnacentral:rRNA from 1 species